ACGGAAGGCAGCAGUCGGGAAUAUUGCACAAUGGGGGAAACCCUGAUGCAGUGACGCCGCGUAUAGGAAGAAGGUCUUUGGAUUGUAAGCUAUUGUCGACAGGGAAGAAACAAAUGACAGUACCUGUGGAGGAAGCCCCGGCAAACUACGUGCCAGCAGCCGCGGUAAUACGUAAGGGGCAAGCGUUAUCCGGAUUUAUUGGGUGUAAAGGGUGCGUAGACGGCGUUGCAAGUUGGUUGUGAAAUCCCUGGGCUUAACACAGGAACUGCAACCAAAACUGUAGAGCUUGAGUGCGGGAGAGGAAAGCGGAAUUCCUAGUGUAGCGGUGAAAUGCGUAGAUAUUAGGAGGAACACCAGUGGCGAAGGCGGCUUUCUGGACCGUAACUGACGCUGAGGCGCGAAAGCGUGGGGAGCAAACAGGAUUAGAUACCCUGGUA
rnacentral:rRNA from 1 species